UACGAAGGGUGCAAGCGUUAAUCGGAAUUACUGGGCGUAAAGGGUGCGUAGGCGGUUGUUUAAGCCUGUCGUGAAAUCCCCGGGCUCAACCUGGGAAUGGCGAUGGAUACUGGGCAGCUAGAGUGUGUCAGAGGAUGGUGGAAUUCCCGGUGUAGCGGCGAAAUGCGUAGAGAUCGGGAGGAACAUCAGUGGCGAAGGCGGCCAUCUGGGACAACACUGACGCUGAAGCACGAAAGCGUGGGGAGCAAACAGG
rnacentral:rRNA from 1 species